rnacentral:lncRNA from 10 species
CUUUAAACAAGGAACAAUUGGCCAUGUAUUUAAGGUGGUGACAAGGGUUGGAGGACAGCCAGUGUACCCAGAUCAAAUUCCUUUAUAUUGACUCAUGGCUAAAUAUAAUAUAGACAAAACCAGCAUAGAUCCAGCCCUGUUUAAUGGCUUAUUGCAAAAAAGCCAAAAGUGAAAGUAAGAGCAGCUUUGCCAGCAGACACAGAGUUAAAAGGGGAGUCCCAGAGACAGCAAGAGAAGCCAGUUGUACAGGAACUGCCAAAGGCAACAGAAAUUCUUUCUCCCUAUGUCCCAGCCUACCCCCACUUUACCGAGGCCAACAGCCGCCUCAGAAACCAGAUUCAGGAGCUAACAUGCCCCAGGUCUCACGAGGAUCAGAGACUCCAGAGGCCAGGGAAGGAGAUCAAGGUAGUCAAGCGGGGGUCGUCUCAGAUCUGGUUGUGCUCGAGCUAUGCAAAUGCCUCUCACGGAGAUGCGAGGACCUAUCUAUUAUGAUGACCAGGGCCACAUCCGGAGGGGGCAACAGACUUUCAUCUAUCAGCCCUUUUCAACCACUGAUCUACUAAACUGGAAACACUCUGAACCCUGCCAUCUUGCUCCUGGUAUCAGAGAGCCCUGUCGUGCAUAACUGUGUAGAAGUGUUGGACUCGGUUUACUCCAGCAGACCUGAUCUCCGGGACCAGCCUUGGGCAUCAGUAGACUGGAAGCUAUAUGUGGACAGGAGCAGCUUCAUCAACCCACAAGGAGAGAGAUGUGCGGGAUAUGUGGUGGAACCCUGGACACUGUCGUUGAAGCCAGAUCGUUGCUCCAAGGCACUUCAGCCCAGAAAGAUGAGCUCAUUGCUUUAAUUUGGGCCUUAGAACUCAGUUAAGUUGCAGGUGUUAUGUCUUGGAUCCACCACCAU